rnacentral:pre_miRNA from 1 species
AAGUGAAGAGAAGAAUCUGACUGUUUUUAACGAUACUAGUGAGAUUCUUACAUCUUCAUUU